GUGUAAGUCAAAGAGCACCUGUACUAAAAUUGGAACAAUACAAAGAAGAUUAGCAUGACCUCUGGACAAGGAUGACACAUAAAUUUGUAAAACAUUCUAUAUGUUU
rnacentral:snRNA from 1 species